rnacentral:rRNA from 1 species
GAUGAACGCUGGCGGCGUGCCUAAUACAUGCAAGUCGAGCGAAUGGAUUGAGAGCUUGCUCUUAUGAAGUUAGCGGCGGACGGGUGAGUAACACGUGGGUAACCUGCCCAUAAGACUGGGAUAACUCCGGGAAACCGGGGCUAAUACCGGAUAACAUUUUGAACCGCAUGGUUCGAAAUUGAAAGGCGGCUUCGGCUGUCACUUAUGGAUGGACCCGCGUCGCAUUAGCUAGUUGGUGAGGUAACGGCUCACCAAGGCAACGAUGCGUAGCCGACCUGGUAGGGUGAUCGGCAACACUGGGACUGAGACACGGCCCAGACUCCUACGGGAGGUAGCAGUAGGGAAUCUUCCGCAAUGGACGAAAGUCUGACGGAGCAACGCCGCGUGAGUGAUGAAGGCUUUCGGGUCGUAAAACUCUGUUGUUAGGGAAGAACAAGUGCUAGUUGAAUAAGCUGGCACCUUGACGGUACCUAACCAGAAAGCCACGGCUAACUACGUGCCAGCCGCCGCGGUAA